UUAGGAAUUCACUCCAGAGGCUGGAAGGUAUGAUGUUAUAUGGGUUCAAUGGUGUAUUGGGCAUCUUGCAAAUGAUGAUUUUGUAUCAUUCUUUAAGAGAGCAAAGGGUGGUCUGAAGCUUGGUGGAUUCUUUGUGCUGAAGGAGAACAUUGCAAGAGCUGGAUUUGUGUUGGAUAAAGAAGAUAAGAGCGUUACCAGGUCAGACUUAUACUUCAAGGAGCUCUUCAGUCAAUGUGGAUUGCAUAUCUACAAAUUGAAGGUAAGCUCAGACCUUUUAUUUUUACAUACUGGCCAAAUUGGACCAUCAAAAUUC